rnacentral:lncRNA from 1 species
GGGGAGGAGGAGAUGAAGCCUGCCUAUAGGUAUCUGUGCACUAGGGGAGGAGCUGGGGAGGAGGAGAUGGAGCCUGCCUAUAGGUAUCUGUGCACCACAGCAGGAGGUGAGGAGGAGGAGAUGAAGCUGAAAAGACAGAUUCCAGAGGGACAACAAGGCAUUUUCGAGGCCACAACCUCCGCAAGAGUGAGCUCUGAGACAAUGUGUAAAUACAGUAAUCAUCAUCAGCAUCAGUUAUUUUUGUGUGAGAACACAAAAUCCACUCUGCAUUUCCAAGCAUACAACACAUCAGCAGGUGUAAUUUGAUUCUUGAGAGGCGGGGCGCAUAUGGAUCCAUCCACAGAAGAGGCAGCUAUGAGCUGGACCCUGGUCAGGGCUCCUCACCUCACGGAGGAGCCAAAGGCAAGAAAUCCUGCCUGACCAGUCCUUGGCCUGCCUGAUUGUGCAGAGACCAACCCUGAGAACAGCAGUCUGUCACAAAUGCCCAGUUCUGUUUGUACAGCAUUCCAUACAAAAGAGAAGAAAACUCUCAUGGGUCUCCACCACGUAGCCCAAGAUGGAAAUGAAAGAUUGCUGAGUGACGUGACAAUACUGUGAGAUGUACCUACCUGUGAGAUGUGAAAUAAUUAAUAUAAUCACGGGGUUAAAAACAAGCCUGAUAGGACAGAUGAGUCCUGCAGGAGCCGUUCUCUUCAUGGAAUCACACUGGCUUCAACUUCAUCAGUGGAUAAAUGAUUCAUUUUUUCCCCGUUUGAGAGCAAGACUUUCUGGAUUCCAGCUUCCAGAGCCAUCCCUUUUUAGAUACUGAAUAUGCAUGACUUUGGCCGCUCACCAACACCCACACAGUUCCUGAUUUGUUUAGGUUCUUUCCCUUCUGGACUGCUGAUGGGACCUUACAAACCAUGCUCAGUCUUCUUUAAAGAGAAUUUGGAUUGUUAUUACCCCAA